ensembl:lncRNA MIR4435-2HG MIR4435-2 host gene
AGUGCAUGUGGUGAUUCAUGUGCAUGGAAAGUACCUUGGGCUGACCACAAACUAGAGUUCCCUACAACUACAUCAAUGUCAAAACUAACCACUGUCUCCUAGCUUGUUUGUUUAAAAAAAAAAAUCCCAUGGUCUUCAAUUUGGUCAUUUAAAAAUAAUCUACAAGGUAUACUGUUUUUCUGUUCUUGUUAUUUCCUAACUUUUAAGGUUUCUAUUUUUCCACCCUGUAGAUCUUGUUCUCACUAGAGAAUAAUUUCUACAUUAUGCCCAGGUUCUUCUGAGCUAUGAAGGGGCCCAGAUUUAAGGGCUAUUUUUGACACCCUAAAUGUGCUGAGACAAGUCAUUAAGGUGGUCCUGCCAGGACACAGCCAUCUAAAGCAGCAAUCUGCUUCUUGCCAGAAAAUCUCGUGCCUCUGCAGAGCCUUUUCCAGAAUGAACCACACCAUGCUGAGGAAAGGAGAAAGAGACUACCUACUGCAUUUCUGUCACUCGCUGAAAAGGACACUCUGUCAGAAAAUCUUCUAGCAAACUUCAAAGGGCAAAAUCACCCCUUGUUACUGAUAAAGCCCAGAGAGCUUCAGCAGCUAACAUUCCCUGGACAGGGCACAGCAAGGAUUUGAACCUAGGUCAGUCUGGCCAGAACACCCACAAGCUUUCCUUAACUCAGUGUGCUAUCUCCCCACGACUAGGUCACUACUGCUUUAUAAUCACCUUUGUAGCCACCAGUGGAUUUUGCUCAUCAGUAUUUUUCAGGCAAUUGAUACUUUAGAUAUUCAGCUGCAAGACGUAUGCAGUUUUCAUUGACAUCUUUUGGAGAAACUGACAAACCUGGACUUGACUUAAUGCCUUUGGAACCUUCCAAGAUGUUAUAUAACUCUAGAUAGAAGGCUGGGCCUCCAUGAUGUCAGGAAUGUUGCAUUCUUAUUUCCCCAUAGAUAAACCCAUUUGUCCACAAAGUCAAGGAGUCAGGCAGAGGCCCUUGCCAUGGGGCUUUUUAGGAUAAAGCAACAAGCCUGGACUUUGCUCUACAACAGGGUUUUGCAUAGGGAGUGGUAUGACCAGAUCCCUCAAGAAAGAAAGCUUAGAGACCAGGCCAGAGUCCACUGCAGUAGCCCAGUCAAGAGAGGAUGGUGACUUGGACUUGUAGUAGAGCCAGUUAGAAUGAAAGAAAUUGACACAUUCAGAAAUGGUUUUAGAGAUAGAGUCAAACUGGACCUGAUAAAGAACUAGAGAAGCGGAGUGAGGAUAAAGAGAAGAGCCAUGACUGACUCGGAAGAUUUUGUCUUGAAAAACUUGAGAACUCAAGACAGAGUGAAAUAAAAUCACAUGUGGGAAAAAUC